UAUGUCCUGAGGGGGCGGUACAAAGGCGCGAGGAGCUGCACCAGCAGACGAAGAAGAAAAGCGACCGUCGCGCGCGGUUUCCGGUUCAUUUCAACUUCUUUUUAUUUGUGUUCGUGAGAAGAAGAAACAAAGAUUCGGUUUAUAUUCGAAGAAACAAACAACGCCGAGGUUCAGGAGCGCGUGACGUCACCGCCCACCGUCAGACUGUGUGUGUGUGUGUGUGUGUGUUACAGUUGAGAGAUGUCCCCGUUCUUCGUGUCUCCAGCUGCUGUCCUCUUGUCCAGAUGCGUCUCCAGAGGCGUGCUGUCUCAGGAGCAAAUAGACUCUGCCUCCUCCAGGCCAAGCCGCGCCUUCUCCUCUGAGCUGCAUGAGGCUGACCAGCGAAUCAGAGCCCAGCGACGCCUCAGUGAGCUGAAGAUGGAGCUGGAGCUGCUGCAGGUGGAGAAGGAGAGCGCCGACGUCACACACACACACUCUCUCAGUGAGUGACACACACACACACACACGUGCUGCAGCGUGAUGUAGCACUGACUCCGCCCCUUCCUCUCCUCAGGUGGGAGGUUCCAGCAGCUGCAGCAGUUCUGUGAUCAUGUGCAGCUGCUGCUGAAGGAGCAGAACAGUGUGAGACAGCGACUCAUGAAACCACUGGGUCAGACCAACCUGUCUGUCCACGCCCACCUGCACAGGUCCGUGGUUCAGGUUCUGGAUCUGCUGCUCGUCUUCAUUCACACUCUGGAGGAGAAACUGGACUCGGUUCAGAACGGCAGCAGAACCAGAGAACAGCUGAGUCAGCUGAAUACCUCGAUCGCCCAGCUGCUCGCUCAGGCAGCAGAAGUGCAGAGUUUGUCCAAUCAGGUUCUUCAGUGGAAGGAAGGGGGGAGGAGCCUGCCGCACGGCCACUGACUUCACAUCUGUUACUUUGUUUAAAUUUGUUCUAAUAAAGUUUAUACUUUGGUCCACA